UGGAUCUCGAAGAAUUAAAGGCAAUAGAUCUUGUUUAUGGUCAAGAUCGAAAUCUUUCUAAUCCUCUUUUAAUAGGAUCUGUUAAGUCAAACAUUGGUAACGCUUAUAAUAAUAAUGCAAUAAAUUCGAUAAUCAAGGUACUAAUUGCUAUGGAGACCAGAGUUAUACCUCCGAAUCUUCAUUAUUCCGAGCCUCCAGAAGAGGCCCAAUGUCUUCGGGAUGGACGCGUAAAAGUAAUUACAGAACCAACACCUUGGACGGAUUGCUACGCUGCUGUUAACACAGCUGCUUUAAACGGUUCCUUCUCUCACAUUAUCCUAAAACGUCAUUCAAAAAAGAAGCAAAGGAGAAAACUUUCACCAUAUAAUAUGCCACGACUUUUUGUAGCUUCUUGUCGAACUCAGGAAAUGAUAUCAUCGAUCUUUGAUAUUUUAAAUUCGAACAGAGGAGAUGAUGAAUUGGCUCAAUUAAUUACUGAUAUUUCUGAGAAACCAUUUUCCAAUUCUCUGUAUUCUGGGUAUACAGUAAUUCCAGAUUUUGAAGCAGCUGAUUCAGAGCAAUUGAUAGAAAUGGUUCAAGCUAAUUUAUCAGUUCAAUCUCGAGAAAUCUGGUUCGUUUUUUCGGAGAUGGGAUCACAAUGGACAGGAAUGGGUGAAUCACUAAUGAAAAUACCAAUCUUUGCCGAAGCAAUAAAAAAAUGUGAUGUAGUUUUAAGACCUCAAAGUUACGAUAUUGUGCAUAUUAUAUGCGAUAAAAAUCCAACAAUAUACGAUAAUAUUAUAAACUGCUUUCUGGGAAUAGCAGCAAUAUAAAUUGGUCUGGUAGAUACUCUAUAUGCUGUCGGUGUGAAACCGAAUUACGUGAUCGGGCAUUCUGUUGGUGAGCUGGGUUGUUCUUACGAAGAUGGUUGCUUUACUGCUGAGGAAAUGAUUUUAAGCGCUCUUUCUUGUGGUUUGGCUUCAGUAGAAAGUGAUUUGAUACACGGAACGAUGGCCGCAGUAGGUCUCGGUUACAAACAGUUGCGACAUUUCUGUCCUGAAGACAUUGAUAUUGCUUGUCAUAAUGGACCCGACAGUUCUACCAUAAGUGGACCUACCGAGUACAUAAAAGCUUUUGUAAAAGAAUUACAGUGUAAAGGAAUAUUUGCUAAAACCGUGCCGACUAGUAAUAUUGCUUUUCAUAGUCGGUACAUUUCUCCAGCUGGUCCAAAGUUGUUAGAAUAUUUAAAAAAAGUCAUCUCUCAACCAAAAAAUCGCAGUAAACGUUGGCUAUGCACGUCUAUUCCGAAAAAUGAGUGGCAUUUAAUGAAAGCUCACCUUUCUUCACCAGAAUAUCAUACGAAUAAUCUCCUUUCUCCUGUCUUAUUCGAAGAAAUAUUAACAAUGUUACCAAAAAACGCUAUAACGAUUGAAAUUUCUCCCCAUGGACUUUUACAGGCAAUUCUAAGAAAAUCAUUGGACAGUGGUUGCAUUAAUUUAUCAUUAACAAAACGAGGUUAUAAGGACAAUGCAAUUUUUAUUUUAUCCACAUUAGGAAAGCUUUAUAAUCUUGGAUUUCCAAUUACGCCAGGAAAGCUCUAUCCGAGAGUUCCUUAUCCUGUUUCCAGAGAAACCCCAUCUAUUUCUCCUCUUGUUCGAUGGGAACACAGUUCUGAUUGGCACGUGGAAAGUUGUAAAUUUUGGGAAGCUCUUUAAAUAGAAGAACUGGUAGAUUUGGAAUCAGGGAAAUACAAGUUUUUACGAAAUUUUUAAAUUAACGGCAAUGUAAUCAUUUCUUUAGCUGUCUAUUUAAAGUUGGUUGUGAAUAUUUACUCGAAUUUUAUACCGAGUAAGGCUGAUAAUUUUUUUAUACUCGAGAACAUUAUUAUUCACAAUAAAUUACUAGAAGUACCUAGAAAUGGCAAAAUUCAUUUAAUUAUUAUGAUAUUUAAAGGUUCAGGAAAAUUUGAAGUAAAAACUAAAGAUGAAAUUAUGAUAGCUUCUGGAACUAUUCGCUUAGCAGAAACACAGAAAAAGAGAUUCCAGAAAUCAUUUUACCAAAAGAAGAAACGAAAAUUUUAGAGGAAGAAAAUAUUUACUCUAAUCUAUUUUUACAUGGUUACCAGUAUGAAGAAUCUUACAAUAUUAUAAGCGGACUUUCUACAUCGUGUUCUAGUGGAGCACUUAAAUGGAGCAGAGACUGGAGAUUAUUACUAGAAGGAUUAGUUCAAGUACAUAUUAUCAGCAGUAGGAAUAAAAAUAUGUUGGUACCGAGUAGGAUACAAAAACUCGUCAUCGAGAUGGAAAAAUUAACA
rnacentral:misc_RNA from 1 species